UACGGGGAGGCAGCAGUGGGGGAAUAUUGCACAAUGGGCGCAAGCCUGAUGCAGCCAUGCCGCGUGUGUGAAGAAGGCCUUCGGGUUGUAAAGCACUUUCAGUCGUGAGGAAGGUAGUGUAGUUAAUAGCUGCAUUAUUUGACGUUAGCGACAGAAGAAGCACCGGCUAACUCCGUGCCAGCAGCCGCGGUAAUACGGAGGGUGCGAGCGUUAAUCGGAAUUACUGGGCGUAAAGCGCAUGCAGGUGGUUUGUUAAGUCAGAUGUGAAAGCCCGGGGCUCAACCUCGGAAUUGCAUUUGAAACUAGGCAGACUAGAGUACUGUAGAGGGGGGUAGGAAUUUCAGGUGUAGCGGUGAAAUGCGUAGAGAUCUGAAGGAAUACCGGUGGCGAAGGCGGCCCCCUGGACAGAUACUGACACUCAGAUGCGAAAGCGUGGGGAGCAAACAGGAUUAGAUACCCUGGUAG
rnacentral:rRNA from 1 species